rnacentral:rRNA from 1 species
CCCUACGGGGGGCAGCAGUGAGGAAUAUUGGUCAAUGGGCGGGAGCCUGAACCAGCCAAGCCGCGUGAGGGAAGAAGGUACAGCGUAUCGUAAACCUCUUUUGUCAGGGAACAAAGGCGGGGACUAGUCCCCGGAUGAGGGUACCUGAAGAAAAAGCAUCGGCUAACUCCGUGCCAGCAGCCGCGGUAAUACGGAGGAUGCGAGCGUUAUCCGGAUUUAUUGGGUUUAAAGGGUGCGCAGGCGGCCUGUUAAGUCAGCGGCAAAAGCCCGGGGCUCAACCCCCGCCAGCCGCUGAAACUGGCGGG